GGUGUCCCGCCAGUGGUUUUACCCUAUGGUAGGUGACCUGGUGCUGUUCUACCACAGGGUAGAACCACGGACGGGAUGC
ensembl:miRNA MIR140 microRNA 140